AUAAACAAACUGUUUGUCCGGAAUACUUUUUAAGAACUGCAAAAAUCGUUUUUAUCAUUAAUAACAUCAUGCUGCAAUAGAUAACUACAGAUAAGUCCAAUAGAUAUUUCAGUGAAUGUGUGGGAGAGGGCGUUAGAGUUCUAAAUUCUUCUACCCCUGACUGCGUUUUAAAGACGUCUCCUUUAACAUAUAAUUAUAAAAAAGUACGCUUAAGUAUUUUCGGAUUUACAAAUUGAUGAAUAACCUUUUCCUUUGUCAACUUAUUGUUCGAGACGACACUGUAUGGAGUGUUCUAUGAAAUAGGGGUAUCU